rnacentral:lncRNA from 1 species
AUGCCCGCAGAUCCACCAAGUGCAGCUGGUGCGUGUGGAAACCAUCGUCCCCAUCCCGGAGGGGCAGCUCCUGGGCACAGAGGGUCAGAGCCUCAGCAUGACAAAGCCACCACCAGCCCCUGCCCACAGGCCUUGCAUACAGGGGCGGGGAGCCCUGCCAGUCCCUGCAGGCAGAACGGGGGGACCAGAGACUGGGGGACCACCCCAGAGCCCUCAGCAGGACCCACACCAGGAAUGCUGUGGCUGGAACAAGGCAUCCCUUCGCCCAGGUGCUUGGGAGAUCAGAGGCCCGGCAGGUCUGUCCCCUCUCCAGCCAAAUCCCUCCCUCAUUGCACCCAAAGACCAAGGUCCCCUUGUCCCAGGGGGAUGCCAUCAGGCUGCCAUGCCCUAUGUUUGCGGCGGUACCUCCUCAGCCGUGCGGUUGCUGUGCCGCUGGUAGGUGAGGGAGGACAGGCUCAGCAGAUGGGUUUUCUUCACCAGGGUGUCGAGCCGGUGGUCAGCAUUCUCAUCGCAAGUGGAGGCCAUGAGGUGCACGGUGACCUGGCUCAGGUCGCUCACCAUCUGCGUGAUGCUCCAUUCCGAAAUCAGGCGUCGCAUCACCGUGCCAGCUGGGGGACAGGGAGAGGAGUCAGCCGGGGUCCUGCCCUGCCUGGAAGCGCUGCCGGCAGGGCCCCCACCUUGCGGGAUGAGCCGCUGGGUACCACGAGUGAAGAUGUGCCCCUGGCAGCACUCCACCUGGAUCCCCCGCUGCUGGGCAAAGGAGGCCCAGUAAUGCACCUGCGAGGGAGCAGAGAGCAGGGGCUGAGUGCCCAGCACAGGCAGAGCGGGGAGGUAACACCAGAUCCCACCCCCAGGACUUGCCUGCAGCCGGGGGAAGAGCGCGGUAUAAGACAACUGCUUGUAAUGCUGCCCCAGCUUCUUCUUACUGGGUUUCAUGUUGUUGAAGAGCUUCCCGCGGCAGAUGGGGCGCGUCACGCUGGUCCAUGUGGCCCAAAAGUUCUGCAUCCAGCGGAGGGUGCUGCUGUAGAGCAGGAUCCGGGGCUGGGAGUGCUCUGGGAAUACACCCGCCGUCAGCCAACGCUGCGGGGCAGGGACACGGCAGCAUCCAACCCAGGACCGAUAAGGAUGGCUAAAACCAGCACGCCCUGCCCCGUCCCCAAGGGAUCCCUGGGAUGCUGCCACCCACCCUCACUGGACCGUGUCAGGUCCAUCCGGAUGGAGAGGUUGAGGUUCUCGGAGCGGAAGGCGUGGUAG